rnacentral:rRNA from 1 species
UACGAAGGGGACUAGCGUUGUUCGGAAUCACUGGGCGUAAAGCGCACGUAGGCGGACUCUUAAGUCGGUGGUGAAAUCCUGGAGCUCAACUCCAGAACUGCCUUCGAUACUGAGAGUCUCGAGUCCGAGAGAGGUGAGUGGAACUGCGAGUGUAGAGGUGAAAUUCGUAGAUAUUCGCAAGAACACCAGUGGCGAAGGCGGCUCACUGGCUCGGUACUGACGCUGAGGUGCGAAAGCGUGGGGAGCAAACAGG